rnacentral:siRNA from 1 species
UGGCUCGUGCGACGGAAUUUC